GCUGGAAUCGCUAGUAAUCGCGGAUCAGAAUGCCGCGGUGAAUACGUUCCCGGGUCUUGUACACACCGCCCGUCACACCAUGGGAGUCGGAAAUGCCCGAAGUCUGUGACCUAACCGAGAGGGAGGAGCAGCCGAAGGCAGGUCUGAUGACUGGGGUGAAGUCGUAACAAGGUACC
rnacentral:rRNA from 1 species